rnacentral:rRNA from 1 species
AAGGACCUUACCUACUCUUGACAUCCAGAGAACUUAGCAGAGAUGCUUUGGUGCCUUCGGGAACUGUGAGACAGGUGCUGCAUGGCUGUCGUCAGCUCGUGUUGUGAAAUGUUGGGUUAAGUCCCGCAACGAGCGCAACCCUUAUCCUUUGUUGCCAGCGGUCCGGCCGGGAACUCAAAGGAGACUGCCAGUGAUAAACUGGAGGAAGGUGGGGAUGACGUCAAGUCAUCAUGGCCCUUACGAGUAGGGCUACACACGUGCUACAAUGGCAUAUACAAAGAGAAGCGACCUCGCGAGAGCAAGCGGACCUCAUAAAGUAUGUCGUAGUCCGGAUUGGAGUCUGCAACUCGACUCCAUGAAGUCGGAAUCGCUAGUAAUCGUGAUCAGAAUGC